UGACGUCUUUGCACGCAAAAUCGUUAGAACAUCGAUAUAAGUUCAAAUAACGCUGAGACCAACUUUCACCCUCCCAUGGUAAAUAAGUAAUCUAUCAGGUAUUAGGUCGAUGUAAUAUGACCUAUAAAACAUCGCACUUCAGGUCAGUUCUGAGCGAGCUGACCUACGAUCAAAGUCCAUAUUACCUGUAAACAUUCUCUCUUUUUCUUAUGUGCUGGUAUCAAUGAAGGGGCACUCAAGCUAAUGCUUAUCUCUGCAUAUAGUGCUUACGUAUGUAGGAGUCUCUGAGCAUUGUUUUGCCUAGGUGGAGGACUGCUAUAACAUUGUUAAGACGGCUCUAUCCAGGACUACAUUAACCAACAUGUUUUUUUUUUACCUAAGACGGUGGAGGAUAUGAGUUGAGAGGGAUUUGGGUGCUAUUUCUAGGAGAUUGGCAACCACGGACAGGCUUCCUUCGUUGGAAGUUAAGCAUUGUGAUCGAUAUAAUCGGCUGUUCCCUUCUCUCAAAUAUGUGGCCUUGUGUUCACUACUUCGUAAACGACAAUAUUUAUUUAUUUCAUGCCGACUUUAACCACAGUCGGGCUAUAUAAGCAGUGCAGUCUAUAAAGGUAUUGGUUCACUGAACAGAUGUCCGGGAAGGUGCGAUUGCAUGAGUGCAGGAAGCCCAAUACUAAUUUAUGUGUUCUGUGGUUGUGAAUGCAAGAGGGCAUAGUGCGUUUUUGCUUUGCUCAGUGGCCUACAAUACGGAGAAAACGAUUCCCGAGUAAUAAGCAUUAUAAUAUAAACAAAACAACACGAAACAAGAAAUGAAGGGAUUCCAAUAAAGACGAACUUCAACAUUUCUCCUUGCCAUCAUCAGUCUACAGAAGUUGAAGGUGAACAUGAAAAGAGUGAUUUUUAUUUGAUGGUAUAGGGCUACACUUUUUCUAAAAGUCGCGAUUAUGACCUGGAAACAGAAAUCAAGACUUGAUAGGACUAACAGGGAAGCUGCCGCUAUAAAACAUAACAGAAUCUGACAGUGAAUACAGACAUGUCGAACAGAAAAAGUCUACAAAAACGCAUUAUGUCUGUGUUCGCGAGCUAUCAUUGCCUCAACCAAUGAAGUGGUAAACAGUGUGAAUGAACACAUUAGCAACUUCCCUGGGGAAAGCCGAGAGUACUGUUGUUCGGAUACAAUGGAUGACGAAAACUGCCACCAGUAUCCACAGGAUUUCUUGAACAACUUAAAUCCAUCGGGAUUACCAGUUCAUAAAAUCAAAUUGAAAAAGAACUGUCCGAUAAUGUUCCUUGGGAAUUUCGAUCCUGUCAAUGGUCUCUGCAAUGGAACAAGAGACUCAGUAACAGAACUAAAUUCCAUUGUUAUCGAAGCAGUGAUUGCGACUGGCACACACAAUGGUAAACGCCUGUUCAUUUCGCAGAUACCCCUUGUACAACCGAUAACCAGUUUCCGUUCCAAUUAAGACGCAGGCAGUUUCCUAUAAAACUAGCAUUCUCAUUCACAGUAAACAAGGCACAGGGCCAUACUUCAGGUCGUGUAAGUGUAUUUUUACCCACUCCGAUGUUUACACACGGCCAGUUAUACGUCGGUAUGAGUAUAGCAACGGACUCCAGUAAUUUGAAAAUUAGUGUCGACCAAACAGGAAAUAUCGUCUACAAAGAAGUUUUGUAAUCAUAUUGAUAUUAUCGAAAGGAAUAUGAUUCAUAAUUUAAAAAAGGAAAUUUGUAAACCUUGAAUGUAUAAGAGUAUAAAUAAGCGUAAAAUAGUGUGAACAACUAAAAUAAAUGUAUACGCAAAUA